GACAGAGGGUGCAAACGUUGUUCGGAUUUACUGGGCGUAAAGGGCGCGUAGGCGGCCACCGCAAGUCAGUUGUGAAAGCUCUGGGCUUAACCCAGAAAGGUCAACUGAUACUGCGGGGCUAGAGUGCAGAAGGGGCAACUGGAAUUCUCGGUGUAGCGGUGAAAUGCGUAGAUAUCGAGAGGAACACCUGCGGCGAAGGCGGGUUGCUGGGCUGACACUGACGCUGAAGUGCGAAAGCUAGGGGAGCGAACGGG
rnacentral:rRNA from 1 species